UACGUAGGGCGCAAGCGUUGUCCGGAAUUAUUGGGCGUAAAGAGCUCGUAGGCGGCCUGUUGCGUCCGCUGUGAAAUCCCGGGGCUUAACCCCGGGCCUGCAGUGGAUACGGGCAUGCUGGAGUGCGGCAGGGGAGACUGGAAUUCCUGGUGUAGCGGUGGAAUGCGCAGAUAUCAGGAGGAACACCGGUGGCGAAGGCGGGUCUCUGGGCCGUUACUGACGCUGAGGAGCGAAAGCGUGGGGAGCGAACAGG
rnacentral:rRNA from 1 species